rnacentral:rRNA from 1 species
UUUCUCUUUUAGUUUUUUAGUAUAAAAAUACAUUACAAUAAAUUGUAGGAGUUUAUAGACUUUUAAAAAACCAAAAAAAAUCGUUAUACUUAUUACAAUUUUUAAAGAAAAAAUAUUUAUAAAAAAGAAAUUAAAAAAAUGAACGUUGGGGAUUGCGAUCUUAUGAAAAAACUGAAAAAAGAUAAAACCUUUUUUUUAAAAAAAAAAAAUUUUAUUUUAAAAAAAAAAGAAGUAUUUAAAAACCCACAUCUUUUUAUAUCUGUUAAGGUAUAAGUUAUUAUUUACCUGGGGGAUAAGCUCCAAAAAAAAAUUAAAGUAAAUUUAAGAAAAAGUAUUUUAAAAAGAAGUUAAUGAAUUAGGCAAAAAAUGUUAAAAAAGAUUAUCAAAAUCUUAGUUAAUUUUAAAGAAAUUAGUUAACAAUCCCUGCUCACUGAAUUUUAAAGAGACUUUUUUAGGUUAAAGUAGCAUAAUAGUUUGUUUUUUAAUUGAGAAAAAGAAUGAAGGGGAAGUUUUUAAUUUCCUAUAUUAAUUUUAAAAAAAAAUAAAAUGCAAAGAAAUUGAAGAUAAAGUGAAAUUACUUUAACACGAAUUUUAAAAGAUAAGACCCUAAAAAGGUAAAAUUUAUUGGGGCAUUAAGAAAUUUAAUUAAAAUUUCUUUUUAAAAAAAAGAGCCAUUUUAAUGGUUUUAAGAAAACUUACUUUAGGGAUAACAGCGUAAUUAAAAAAGAUAGUUCUUAUGUUUUUUUUAGUUUGCGACCUCGAUGUUGAAUAAAAUUUACUUUUUUUAGAAAAAAAUUAAAGUUAAUAGACUGUUCGUCUAUGAUAAUUUACUUGAUUUGAGUUAAAAUCGGCGUAAGCUAGAUUGGUUUCUAUUUAAAUUUGAAAAAAAUCUUAGUAAAAAAAUUAGUACGAAAGGAAUUUUUUUUUUUUAAAUUUAAUGGA